GCCACUGCUAUUGGGGUUCGGCUAAGCCAUGCGAGUGGAGGGCGUCCCGCAAGGGAUGGCCCCACAGACGGCUCAGUAACACGUCGUCAACCCACCUUAGGGUGGGGGACAACCUCGGGAAACUGAGGAUAAUCCCCCAUAGGCGGGGGAGGCUGGAAUGCGCCCCCGCUGAAAGCUCAGGCGCCCUAGGACGGGACGGCGGCCUAUCAGGUAGUUGGUGGUGUGACG
rnacentral:rRNA from 1 species